rnacentral:rRNA from 1 species
AGUGAACGCUGGCGGUAGGCCUAACACAUGCAAGUCGAACGGCAGCACAGUAAGAGCUUGCUCUUACGGGUGGCGAGUGGCGGACGGGUGAGGAAUACAUCGGAAUCUACUUUUUCGUGGGGGAUAACGUAGGGAAACUUACGCUAAUACCGCAUAUGACCUACGGGUGAAAGCAGGGGAGCUUCGGACCUUGCGCGAUUGAAUGAGCCGAUGUCGGAUUAGCUAGUUGGCGGGGUAAAGGCCCACCAAGGCGACGAUCCGUAGCUGGUCUGAGAGGAUGAUCGGCCACACUGGAACUGAGACACGGUCCAGACUCCUACGGGAGGCAGCAGUGGGGAAUAUUGGACAAUGGGCGCAAGCCUGAUCCAGCCAUACCGCGUGGGUGAAGAAGGCCUUCGGGUUGUAAAGCCCUUUUGUUGGGAAAGAAAAGCAGCAGGUUAAUACCCCGCUGUUCUGACGGUACCCAAAGAAUAAGCACCGGCUAACUUCGUG